rnacentral:rRNA from 1 species
CUUAAGCUUGCUAAGUUUGAUGGCGACCGGCGCACGGGUGAGUAACACGUAUCCAACCUGCCCUUUACUCGGGGAUAGCCUUUCGAAAGAAAGAUUAAUACCCGAUAGUAUAAUGAUUCCGCAUGGUUUCAUUAUUAAAGGAUUCCGGUAAAAGAUGGGGAUGCGUUCCAUUAGGUUGUUGGCGGGGUAACGGCCCACCAAGCCUUCGAUGGAUAGGGGUUCUGAGAGGAAGGUCCCCCACAUUGGAACUGAGACACGGUCCAAACUCCUACGGGAGGCAGCAUG